rnacentral:rRNA from 1 species
UACGGGAGCAGCAGUGGGGAAUAUUGCACAAUGGGCGCAAGCCUGAUGCAGCCAUGCCGCGUGUAUGAAGAAGGCCUUCGGGUUGUAAAGUACUUUCAGUCGUGAGGAAGGUGUUAAGGUUAAUAACCUUAGCAAUUGACGUUAGCGACAGAAGAAGCACCGGCUAACUCCGUGCCAGCAGCCGCGGUAAUACGGAGGGUGCGAGCGUUAAUCGGAAUUACUGGGCGUAAAGGGCACGCAGGCGGUUAAUUAAGUUGGAUGUGAAAUCCCCGGGCUUAACCUGGGAAUGGCAUUCAAGACUGGUUAGCUAGAGUCUUGUAGAGGGGGUAGAAUUCCAUGUGUAGCGGUGAAAUGCGUAGAGAUGUGGAGGAAUACCGGUGGCGAAGGCGGCCCCUGGGACAAAGACUGACGCUCAUGUGCGAAAGCGUGGGGAGCAAAC